rnacentral:rRNA from 1 species
GAUGAACGCUGGCGGCGUGCCUAAUACAUGCAAGUCGAGCGAACAGACGAGGAGCUUGCUCCUCUGACGUUAGCGGCGGACGGGUGAGUAACACGUGGAUAACCUACCUAUAAGACUGGGAUAACUUCGGGAAACCGGAGCUAAUACCGGAUAAUAUAUUGAACCGCAUGGUUCAAUAGUGAAAGACGGUUUUGCUGUCACUUAUAGAUGGAUCCGCGCCGCAUUAGCUAGUUGGUAAGGUAACGGCUUACCAAGGCAACGAUGCGUAGCCGACCUGAGAGGGUGAUCGGCCACACUGGAGCUGAGACGCGGUCCAGACGCCUACGGGAGGCAGCAGUAGGGAAUCUUCCGCAGUGGGCGAAAGCCUGACGGAGCAACGCCGCGUGAGUGAUGAAGGUCUUCGGAUCGUAAAACUCUGUUAUUAGGGAAGAACAAAUGUGUAAGUAACUAUGCACGUCUUGACGGUACCUAAUCAGAAAGCCACGGCUAACUACGUG